rnacentral:rRNA from 1 species
UGGGGAAUUUUGGACAAUGGGCGAAAGCCUGAUCCAGCAAUGCCGCGUGUGUGAAGAAGGCCUUCGGGUUGUAAAGCACUUUUGUCCGGAAAGAAAUCCUCUGGGUUAAUACCUCGGGGGGAUGACGGUACCGGAAGAAUAAGCACCGGCUAACUACGUGCCAGCAGCCGCGGUAAUACGUAGGGUGCAAGCGUUAAUCGGAAUUACUGGGCGUAAAGCGUGCGCAGGCGGUUUUGUAAGACGGAUGUGAAAUCCCCGGGCUUAACCUGGGAACUGCAUUCGUGACUGCAAGGCUAGAGUAUGGCAGAGGGGGGUAGAAUUCCACGUGUAGCAGUGAAAUGCGUAGAGAUGUGGAGGAAUACCGAUGGCGAAGGCAGCCCCCUGGGCCAAUACUGACGCUCAUGCACGAAAGCGUGGGGAGCAAACAGGAUUAGGAUAACCCUGGGUAGUCCACGCCCUAAACGAUGUCAACUAGUUGUUGGGGAUUCAUUUCCUUAGUAACGUGAGCUAACGCGUGAAGUUGACCGCCUGGGGAGUACGGUCGCAAGAUU